GACUCCGUAGCUCAAUGGAUUGAGCAGUCCCGUCCUAAGGGAAAGAUUGCGAGUUCGACUCUCGCCGGGGUCA
rnacentral:tRNA from 1 species